GAAAAUGCGGUGCCAGGUGCGGGGGUAAGAGUGGGGGUGCGAGUGUUGAUCGGAGUGACUGUGCGUAAAGGGGUCGGAGGCGGCCAACGAAGUCAGACGGGAAAUCCCUUGGCUUAGCCGGGGAACUGCGUCUGAUACUGGAUGGCUGGAGUUCGGGAGAGGGAUGUGGAAUUCCAGGUGUAGCGGUGAAAUGCGUAGAUAUCUGGAGGAACACCGGUGGCGAAGGCGGCAUCCUGGACCGACACUGACGCUGAUGAGCGAAAGCCAGGGGAGCAAACGGGAUUAGAUACCCGUGUAGUC
rnacentral:rRNA from 1 species